CUCCAGCCGGCGGGUGCCCGCGGCGCCAGCUUUUCCGGCUUCCAGUUGCCAGGGGGCGCUGCGACACAAUAGCCCGUGCCCGGAGGGGCGGCGGCCGCGUGAGCAGGGAGCCGCGCGCCGGGUAGUGGGGACCACCGGGUGGAGCCCGGGACAGCUGUGAGUCCGCUCGAGCGGCUUUCCUUCCUCCACCGCCUCCUCCUCUCGCUCUCCGCGGGCCUCACGGUGGGGCUGCCGCGGCGACGGCGACUGAAGUCCAGGCGCCGUUAUCUGUAGCCUCCUGGCGACCGUGACAAGCAGGCGCGUGAGUUUCCUGGGCACCAGGAGCCUUGGGAGGAGACACUUCACUCCUUUCCCGCAACCCAGAGAAGCAGGGACUUGGUCUCAGCCUUUCUCGCAGCUCUGAGAGGUGCUGUUACGUCCAGUUGCACCUCCCCACCGCCCUUGGAGAGGUGUGUUUUCCCCUGGAGUAGCCCAAGGGAGCGGGCCUAGCAGGUGGAGUUUCUGUCUUUGUAUCUUUUGGCUGUUCUGGCGGGACAUCAUUGCCCAAUAAGCGCUGACCGAGUUGCCAAAAGAAAAAGAAAAGGCAGCAUUUUCAAGGAUAUACCGUAAUAGGACAAUUCACCUGGUUAUGAAUAGGGCUUGAGAAUUGCAAGAAGCGAACUUGUUGCCUGACUAGUUUAUUGCUUAGAGUAGAGGCUUUAGGCCUACUUACGCUUGAAUCUGGCAGAGAGGCCACAGCUUAUCCAGAUUACACACUGGGAUCGCCCAACCCAAACACAUUGUACACCUGGAGACAUCUUCCAGUUUGACAGAGAGCUGCUGACUUGAAUGUUUCUGUCGGCACGGCCCCAAGCCCCAACCGACAAAAAUGCUUCCGAAACUUCAUUCACCGGAAUUCUUCUUAUCAGGAACUUACAGGCUGUUUUCCGAAGUGGCUGCACCAUUUAAAAUUCCCAUCUGUAAGUGUAUGAAGGUUCCAAUUUCUCCACAUCCUCACCAACACUUAUUUUGUCUCUUUUUACUUGGUAUCUCAUUGUGACGUUAAUUUGCCUAGACUGAGUGGUAUUUGGUUAGCUAGUUUUAUUUCACUUUAAUGAAUACCUUUUUAAAUUUUAAAUUUUAAAUAUUUUAAUUUGGGGCUGAAAUGAAUAAUACAUGGCCCCUCUCUGCAAGGAGCUCAUGGCUCCUUCAGAGAGACAGACAAAUAGCUAACGACAGUACAGUGUGUCAAGUGCUCUGAUGGAGUUGAGCAUGGGAUGCUAUGAGGAGCAGAGUAGAGGGACGCCUAAUCUAGGGUGGGAGGAGGAUGGAGGAAAGUAUUAAAUAAGCCUUUUCCAGAAGGGGCUUUAGUGUGCCUCUGGUUUUCUUUCAUGUACUUUCCUCAAAACUAUACAUGCACGUAGUAUUACGGAUAGUUCUAUGUGGCUUUCUAUUCUAAAAAAAAGGAGUCCCCGGCUUUCCUUGCCAUCCCUGCUCCCCCAAAAGCAGUCACUUUCUAUUCUUUUCUCUCUUUGGAUAUUUCCCUCUAUGUCUUUAAAUAGCAUAGCGUGUUUUUAUUUGAGAAAGAAGAAUAAUCAGCCCUGAUACAGGCCCCUCAUCAUCCUCACUUGCACUGAUUUCUAAAUUGGUCAGCCCCAUUAGAUAUUAACACGUGAUUAGUUAUGAAAGCCACGGUCACAAUGCAAGCUACCUUCUUGCAAUUUAAAUGAAAGAAGACAGGCAUUACCAACUGUUAGGUACUGGAGUAACUGAAGUAAGACAAGAUCAACAUUUUAAAGGAGUAGCUAAGGAGUUUUUUUCCUCAUUGGUACUUUAGUACCAUGUAACUGCAAUAAGCCAGAACCCAUUGCACCUGUCAAUUAAGAGGAACGUUAUUUUCACUCAAGCUUUUGAAGAAAAAGCCAAAUCAGAGACAAGCAGCAUGAUACAGGACAGAGGUCGGCAAAUUCUGACCCGUGAGUUAAGAAUGUUUUUUCAGAUGAACAUUUUCAAUCAGUUUGAUGAUAGGGAACACUAACUUUCAACCCCAAUUAAAGAAAAUGUUAUUCUUCUAUUCUGUUUUCUCAUUAGUAGACCUGUAUUACAAAACCUUGUAGUCAAUUAUUAUAUUUUGGAUUUCAUCUAUAAAAAAUUAUGGAAAUUUAUUUUCUCUUGUUAUAUAAGUACCUACAUAAUAUCCCUGAUUUGCGUCUUGGCCCAUAAAGCCUAAAAUAUUUACUAUCUGACCUUCACAGAAAAAGUUUUCCUACUCUUGGUUUAGUAGAAUAAACAGAGGUAUGGAAAGCAAUUGCCACAUACUUGCUGUGUAUCCUUGGGAAAUUACUUCACUUCUCUGGUCUUGAUUUUCAUUAUCUAUAAAAUGGAGAUUGAGGGUGAUAUGUGGAUGAGAUAAACUCUAUGGUGAACCCCCCACAUCCUCUUAAGUUUUUGAUUAAUUAGUUAAUUAUACAAAUAUUUACUGAGCUACUACUAUGUACCAAGAGCUGUUCAAGGCUUGGGGAUACAGCAGCAAACAAAAUUCCUGUCCUGAGAAAGAUACUAUUCUAAAUGAAAAGAGAUUAAAGAUGCAAUGAGUGGUCUGAGAUUGAAUCCUGACUUGAACAAACUAGCUUUAUACGACAUUUUGGGGGAAACUAGGGAAAUUUGAAUAUGGAUGGGUGUUAGAUGAGAUGGAAACAUUAACAUGCAAUGGCGGAGGUCAUUAACUGAAAACAGCGGUUACAAAGCAUUAUGUACAUAUAUUAUCUCAUUUUGGUAGAAAAUGUAUCUAUGUGUCAUAUAUACCGAGGAAAAGAUCUAGAAGGAUAUAUACUAAGCUGUUAACAGUGGUAAUUUCUGGGCAGUGGGAAAAUAAUGUUUUUAUUUACUUAUUUUUGUUUUCUAAUUUUUUACAAUGAACAUAUACUGCUUUUGUAAAAAUAAAAGGUUCUAAUUUAAAAAAAUAAUCUCUCUUUUCAUGGAGCUUACAUGCUACUGCCUCUUGUAAAUAUUAAUAUUGACAAUCUGUCACUUUUUCUGGGGGACACAUGGAAGAAUGUAGAGUGCCCCGCCUCCUGCAGGUAACAAAGGAUCAGGGCGUUCUCUGUGAAAUAACUGCAGAAUAUGAACUGAUGCUGCUGGCAUUUCCCUUGGAGUUUUACUGGUGAGUAGAGCUUUCUUAUCCCCAAGGCUUUAGAAUGGGGUGGACUUUUGUAGAGUGGUCAGUAUUAAAAGGGAGGGACUAGAGAGGCAAACGUUGGAGUGUCCAUCUAAGCACUGUUCAGGAGAGAAUAUACCCAAUCUGAUACGGAGGUAGAUUUAUCUCUGUAGCAUUGAUGGAUACAUCAGGCUGUGAAAGCCUGAUGCGAUUAAGCAUCUGAAGCAUGUAACUACUUUUGUUCUUCUAGGCCAGGAGUCUGCAAAGUAUGGCCUAGGAAUGAAAUCUGGCCUGCCAUCUAUUUUAAAGUCUUAUUGUAAAUAAAGUCUUACUGGAACACAGCCACACUCAUUUCUUUAUGUAUUGUCUAUCACUGCUUUUGCCCAACAGCGGCAGAGUUGAGUAGUUGUGACAGAGGCCAUAUAUUACCCACAAACCCCAAAAUACUUACUAUUUGGCCCUCUAAAUAAAAAGUUUGUGGAUCCUUGUUCUAGGCCCACCACAAAACUGUCUCAGGAGGCACACCUGUGGGGAGGGAAUGCCCACUCUACAGUUAAAUGAACAUUCUGAUUUAUAAACUGCAUUCUCUCCUGAGCUUUAUUAGCAGCUGUCAGUAUUCCGAAUUCCGGAUGACUCGGUUACUUACAAGAUUGGAUUUCUUAUCCUGCAAAGCUGAGGUGAAGGCCAGACCCUAGAAAAACAGAAAAUUCAUCAAGGCUCAGUUCAAGAACCACCCCCUCCAAGUUGUCUUCCUGGAUUUAUUCAGCCCAAAGUUAUCCUUGUCUUUCCUGGGACAUGUCAGCAUUCUGGACAGAAGAAACCAACAAGCAAUGGAGAGGCCACAUCAAGCAGCUAGAAUCUCUGCAGCCCAGUGUUCUGUUUGAUGGGCUUCUAGGGGCUGUUCAAAGGGAGAUACCAGCAGCCUGGAAAUUCCAAAUGGAAGGCAAUGAUCAUGGGCAGUUGAUGCCUUCUCCAGGGUGGUGACAGUGGUGUUUUUGCCAGAGCAGCACCAACGGAUCCCUCAAGACUUUGUUAUGGAUUUUGUCUCUGGGAACACAGACUCUGCUUUUCAAGAUGAUUCUCUCUCUACCAUUGUAUUGGUUCCUCCUCCUGGGCUCAGCAGCCUGGAAAUAGAAACAGCAGUGGUGGCUGAUUGUCUUGAUCCAGACGGAAGUUGUGUGGCAGAUUGCAUCAUUCACUGCUUUGCCUUCUUGGAUGACUCAGAACAUAAUAUAACCUUGUUUUGUGACUCAGAGAGGCCAUUAUGACCAUCUGCUUUUGCCUUGGACCUCUGAGGCAUGUAGGAAUAUGUCUUUCUCUAUUAAAUGGAUUUCUUUGCUUUUGAAAUUCUAUCUCCUUCAACUUCCAGCUUUACUCUUUUUGGUGUCAGAGGCUGAGAUCAGUGUAUUCUAGGUUCUUCUAAUGUGCAGUUGUUUGACCAAAGAUUGAC
ensembl:lncRNA